rnacentral:SRP_RNA from 1 species
GCCAGGCGUGGUGGCGGGCGCCUGUAGUCCCAGCUACUCAGGAGGCUGAGGCAGGAGAAUCGCUUGAACCCAGGAGGCGGAGGUUGCAGUGAGCCUAGAUCAUGCCACUGCACUCCAGCCUGGGUGACACGGUGAGACUCUGUCUCAA